CAAAUCAUCAUGCCCCUUAUGAUUUGGGCUACACACGUGCUACAAUGGACAAUACAAAGGGCAGCGAAACCGCGAGGUCAAGCAAAUCCCAUAAAGUUGUUCUCAGUUCGGAUUGUAGUCUGCAACUCGACUACAUGAAGCUGGAAUCGCUAGUAAUCGUAGAUCAGCAUGCUACGGUGAAUACGUUCCCGGGUCUUGUACACACCGCCCGUCACACCACGAGAGUUUGUAACACCCGAAGCCGGUGGAGUAACCUUUUAGGAGCUAGCCGUCGAAGGUGGGACAAAUGAUUGGGGUGAAGUCGUAACAAGGUAGCCGUAUCGGAAGGUGCGGCUGGAUCACCUCCUUU
rnacentral:rRNA from 1 species